rnacentral:rRNA from 1 species
GACGAACGCUGGCGGCAGGCCUAACACAUGCAAGUCGAACGAGUGGCGGACGGGUGCGUACUGUCUGGGAAACUGCCUGAUGGCGGGGGAUACCUACUGGAAAAGGUAGCUAAUACCGCAUACCAUCAGCUGUCCCCCGAGGGGAUUAGCUCGAAGGUGGGGUAACGGCUCACCUAGGCGACGAUCCCUAGCUGGUCUGCGAGGAUGACCAGCCACACUGGAACUGAGACACGGUCCAGACUCCGACGGGAGGCAGCAGUGGGGAAUAUUGCGCAAUGGGCGCAAGCCUGAUGCAGCCAUGCCGCGUGAGUGAAGAAGGCCUUCGGGUUGUAAAUUGCUUUCAGCGGGGAGGCGUUACCCGCAGAAGAAGCACCGGCUAACUCCGUGCCAGCAGCCGCGGUAAUUC